rnacentral:snoRNA from 13 species
ACAGUCUGGGGCAAGGCUCCUGAGUUGCUGCAUCUGCCCAGCUGCAGGUUCAGCUUUGUACCAGGAAGCCCAACGUUAACAUAAAUUCCCAGAAGUCUUUCCUGCAUCAGAAUCUGCAGUAACAGGUGUGAGCAUUCUAGCAGCAGAUUGAUGAUCAUGUAUUAUACCGUACACAGGA